CCUACGGGUGGCAGCAGUGGGGAAUAUUGCACAAUGGGGGAAACCCUGAUGCAGCGACGCCGCGUGAGUGAAGAAGGACUUCGUUAUGUAAAGCUCUAUCAGCAGGGAAGAAAAUGACGGUACCUGAGUAAGAAGCCCCGGCCAACUACGUGCCAGCAGCCGCGGUCAUACGUAGGGGGCAAGCGUUAUCCGGAUUUACUGGGGGUAAAGGGAGCGUAGACGGCAGUGCAAGUCUGGCGUGAAAGGCGGGGGCUCAACCCCCGGACUGCUCUGGAAACUGUACGGCUGGAGUGCAGGAGAGGUAAGUGGAAUUCCUAGUGUAGCGGUGAAAUGCGUAGAUAUUAGGAGGAACACCAGUGGCGAAGGCGGCCUACUGGACGGUGACUGACGCUGAGGCUCGAAAGCGUGGGGAGCAAACAGGAUUAGAUACCCCUGUAGUC
rnacentral:rRNA from 1 species